AGUCGAGGGGUAUUUAUCUUCGGAUAGAGAGACCGGCGCACGGGUGCGUAACGCGUAUGCAAUCUACCUUUUACAGAGGGAUAGCCCAGAGAAAUUUGGAUUAAUACCUCAUAGUAUAUAAACUUCGCAUGAAGACAAUAUUAAAGUCACAACGGUAAAAGAUGAGCAUGCGUCCCAUUAGCUAGUUGGUAAGGUAACGGCUUACCAAGGCUACGAUGGGUAGGGGUCCUGAGAGGGAGAUCCCCCACACUGGUACUGAGACACGGACCAGACUCCUACGGGAGGCAGCAGUGAGGAAUAUUGGACAAUGGGCGCAAGCCUGAUCCAGCCAUGCCGCGUGCAGGAUGACGGUCCUAUGGAUUGUAAACUGCUUUUAUACGAGAAGAAACACUGCUUCGUGAAGCAGCUUGACGGUAUCGUAAGAAUAAGGAUCGGCUAACUCCGUGCCAGCAGCCGCGGUAAUACGGAGGAUCCAAGCGUUAUCCGGAAUCAUUGGGUUUAAAGGGUCCGUAGGCGGUUUAAUAAGUCAGUGGUGAAAGCCCAUCGCUCAACGGUGGAACGGCCAUUGAUACUGUUAGACUUGAAUUAUUAGGAAGUAACUAGAAUAUGUAGUGUAGCGGUGAAAUGCUUAGAGAUUACAUGGAAUACCAAUUGCGAAGGCAGGUUACUACUAAUUGAUUGACGCUGAUGG
rnacentral:rRNA from 1 species